UGAGGAAUAUUGGUCAAUGGACGAGAGUCUGAACCAGCCAAGUAGCGUGAAGGAUGACUGCCCUAUGGGUUGUAAACUUCUUUUAUACGGGAAUAAAGUGAGGCACGUGUGCCUUUUUGUAUGUACCGUAUGGAUAAGGAUCGGCUAACUCCGUGCCAGCAGCCGCGGUAAUACGGAGGAUCCGAGCGUUAUCCGGAUUUAUUGGGUUUAAAGGGAGCGUAGGCGGACGCUUAAGUCAGUUGUGAAAGUUUGCGGCUCAACCGUAAAAUUGCAGUUGAUACUGGGUGUCUUGAGUACAGUAGAGGCAGGCGGAAUUCGUGGUGUAGCGGUGAAAUGCUUAGAUAUCACGAAGAACUCCGAUUGCGAAGGCAGCUUGCUGGACUGUAACUGACGCUGAUGCUCGAAAGUGUGGGUAUCAAACAGGAUUAGAUACCCUGGUAGUCCACGCUGUAAACGAUGAUUACUAGGUGUGGGGGGUCUGACCCCUUCCGUGCCGGAGUUAACACAAUAAGUAAUCCACCUGGGGAGUACGGCCGCAAGGUUGAAACUCAAAGGAAUUGACGGGGGCCCGCACAAGCGGAGGAACAUGUGGUUUAAUUCGAUGAUACGCGAGGAACCUUACCCGGGCUUGAAUUGCAACUGAAUGAUGUGGAGACAUGUCAGCCGCAAGGCAGUUGUGAAGGUGCUGCAUGGUUGUCGUCAGCUCGUGCCGUGAGGUGUCGGCUUAAGUGCCAUAACGAGCGCAACCCUUAUCGAUAGUUACCAUCAGGUUAUGCUGGGGACUCUGUCGAGACUGCCGUCGUAAGAUGUGAGGAAGGUGGGGAUGACGUCAAAUCAGCACGGCCCUUACGUCCGGGGCUACACACGUGUUACAAUGGGGGGUACAGAAGGCAGCUACACGGCGACGUGAUGCUAAUCCCGAAAGCCUCUCUCAGUUCGGAUUGGAGUCUGCAACCCGACUCCAUGAAGCUGGAUUCGCUAGUAAUCGCGCAUCAGCCACGGCGCGGUGAAUACGUUCCC
rnacentral:rRNA from 1 species